AUUGAACGCUGGCGGCAUGCCUUACACAUGCAAGUCGAACGGCAGCACGGGUGCUUGCCCCUGGUGGCGAGUGGCGAACGGGUGAGUAAUACAUCGGAACAUGUCCUGUAGUGGGGGAUAGCCCGGCGAAAGCCGGAUUAACACCGCAUACGAUCCACGGAUGAAAGCGGGGGACCUUCGGGCCUCGCGCUAUAGGGUUGGCCGAUGGCUGAUUAGCUAGUUGGUGGGGUAAAGGCCUACCAAGGCGACGAUCAGUAGCUGGUCUGAGAGGACGACCAGCCACACUGGGACUGAGACACGGCCCAGACUCCUACGGGAGGCAGCAGUGGGGAAUUUUGGACAAUGGGCGAAAGCCUGAUCCAGCAAUGCCGCGUGUGUGAAGAAGGCCUUCGGGUUGUAAAGCACUUUUGUCCGGAAAGAAAUCCUUGACUCUAAUACAGUCGGGGGAUGACGGUACCGGAAGAAUAAGCACCGGCUAACUACGUG
rnacentral:rRNA from 1 species